UCCCUGGAGGACUAGUGGUUAGGCCACCACGCUCUCGCCUCUGAAGCCUGGGUUCGAUUCCUGGCCAGGAAA